UACGAAGGGGGCUGGCGUUGCUCGGAAUCACUGGGCGUAAAGCGCACGUAGGUGGAUCGCUAAGUCAGGGGUGAAAUCCUGGAGCUCAACUCCAGAACUGCCUUUGAUACUGGCAAUCUCGAGUCCGGGAGAGGUGAGUGGAACUGCGAGUGUAGAGGUGAAAUUCGUAGAUAUUCGCAAGAACACCAGUGGCGAAGGCGGCUCACUGGCCCGGUACUGACGCUGAGGUGCGAAAGCGUGGGGAGCAAACAGG
rnacentral:rRNA from 1 species